GGGGGGGGGGGGGGGGGGGGGGGGGGGGUGCGGGGCGGAGGGCGGCGCAGGAGGAGCUGGCUCUUGCGGGUGGCGAGUGGCGGACGGGGGAGGGAUACAGCGGGAUCGACUUUUUCGUGGGGGAUAACGUAGGGAAACUUACGCUAAUACCUCAUACGACCUACGGGUGAAAGCAGGGGGUCUUCGGACCUUGCGCGAUUGAAUGAGCCGAUGUCGGAUUAGCUAGUUGGCGGGGUAAAGGGCCACCAAGGCGACGAUCCGUAGCUGGUCUGAGAGGAUGAUCAGCCACACUGGAACUGGGACACGGUCCAGACUCCUACGGGAGGCAGCAGUGGGGAAUAUUGGACAAUGGGCGCAAGCCUGAUCCAGCCAUACCGCGUGGGUGAAGAAGGCCUUCGGGUUGUAAAGCCCUUUUGUUGGGAAAGAAAAGCAGCAGGUUAAUACCCCGCUGUUCUGACGGUGCCCAAAGAAUAAGCACCGGCUAACUUCGUG
rnacentral:rRNA from 1 species